UACAGAGGUCUCAAGCGUUGUUCGGAUUCAUUGGGCGUAAAGGGCGCGUAGGCGGCGGGGUAAGUCGGGUGUGAAAUCUCAGAGCUCAACUCUGAAAUGGCACUUGAUACUGUUCUGCUAGAGGACUGGAGAGGAGAUUGGAAUUCACGGUGUAGCAGUGAAAUGCGUAGAUAUCGUAAGGAAGACCAGUGGCGAAGGCGGGUCUCUGGACAGUGCCUGACGCUGAGGCACGAAGGUCAGGGGAGCAAACGGG
rnacentral:rRNA from 1 species